AUAUAUAUAUAUAUAUAUAUAUCAUAUAUAUAUGAAUUUAUGGUUUUAGGUCUUACAUUUGAAUCUGUGUCUGAUUUUGAGUUAAUUUUCAUGUCUAAUGUGCGAUAAGGGCACAGACCCACCUGGCUGCCUGCAUGUUGAUAUCCAGCUUCCCCAGAACUGCUGAUAAGACUCUUCUUUCCCUGUUGAAUUUUUUUGGCACCUUUAUUGAAACUCAAUUGACUAUAAAUAUAAGGGUUUAUUUCUAGACAUUCAGUUCUUUCCAUCGGAUCUAUAUGUCUGUCCUAAUGCCAUUACCACACUGUCUAGGGUACUUCAGCUUUGUGGUAAGUUUUGAAAGUAAGAAUUAUGUCUUCCAACUUUGUCUUUUUCCAGAGUGUCUUGGGUAUUCUGGUUCUUUUGCAUUUCCAUAUAAAUUUUAGGAUCAGCUUGUCAGUUCCUUCAGGCGCCCAGCUGAGAUUUUGGUAUAAAUUGUGUUGAGUCUAUGAAGGAAUUUUGGGAGUUUUGCUGUCUUGACAGUAUUGAAUUUUCUGAUCCAUGAACAGGGGUGACCUUUCAUGCAUUUAAGCCUUCAGUCUCUUCCAGCAGUGCGUUUCGUGUCCGAAUCUUGCUCCACCUGUCAUUUUUGAAAGAGUUUUGCCAGCGAAAGAAUUGUAAGUCGAUCAUUUUUUCCCUUUCACCAGUUUAGAGAUGUGACCCCACUGUCUUAUAGCUUGCUUUGUUUCCCACAGGAGUCCGGCUGUCACACUUCUCUUUAGUUCUAUCCAGGUGACACCCCUACCCCACCUGCCCGCCCCCACCCUGCCUCUUUUAAGGUUUUUAUUCAUCCUUGGUUUUAAGCAGUGUGAUAAUAAUGUGGCCCAGUGUGGUGUUUUCAUGUUUGUCAUACUUGGGGCUUGUAGAUCUUGGUUCUACAGGUUAAAUGGGGGAGAACUCUCAUUCCCAUUGGGAGUUUUGUGGCCCUGAAGCAUGGUGUUCCUCUGUUUGUUAGGUGUUCUUUGAUUUCUUUCACCAGUAUUUCAUAGUUUCACCAUGCAGAUCCUGUGCACGUUUUGUUGAUUUCCAUUUAAGUAUUUCAUUUUUUGGAAUGGUUAUUAUAAAUAGUAAUACAUUUUUUUUAAAAAGAUCAUUUUUACAUGUUCGUUGAGAGUGCAUAGAAAUACAGGUGAUUUUGUGUUUUGAUCUUGUAUCCUGCAACCUUGCUAUCCUGACACGUUAGUUCCAGGAAGUUUUUUGGUUUUUUUAAAAUGUUUAUUUAUUAUUGAGAGGGAGAGAGAGAGAGAGACAGAGCAUGAGUAGGGGACGGGCAGAGAGAGAGGGAGACCCAGAAUCUGAAGCAGGCUCCAAGCUCUGAACUGUCAGCACAGAGCCCGACGCGGGGCUCAAACUCACAAAUUGCAAGAUCAUGACCUGAGCCGAAGUCAGACGCUCAACCGACUGAGCCACCCAGGAGCCCCUUUUGUAAAUUCCUUUGGGUUUGCUACACAGACACUUGUGUCAUCUAUAAAUAGGGACCGUAUUCUUCCUUUCUGAUUUAUAUGACUUUUAUUUCUUUUUCCUGUUGUAUUACACUGGCUAAGAUUUCUGCUGUGAUGUUGAAUAGAGAGGAGACCAGAUUCGGAGAGUAUGAUCAUGGGGUUAGCUUUUGGCUAAAAGAGCUCUUUAUUUACAAAUUAAUUUUAGGCCUUUUCUUUCUGCUUAAUUAUAAAACCUAUCUUUCUUGAAUACGUGCAUUGUUUAUGUUUAGUUUUGAAACUUUAUUUGUGUUCACAGGCUCUUAUUUCCUCUGUUAAAGGCAUCAUGGUGUCACUGCAGAGCCGUGCAGUUGGCAGUGGUCCCCUGGACAUCCCAGCUUCUGACGGCGCCCCCAGGGGAAGUCUCCACAUCCAGUCCACGGUGUAACUACAUAGAAAUGGAGCCUCCUCCGAUGGGGCCAAGAGCAUGAGGCAUAUAAUCAGUUUUCCAGGUUUACGGUUUAUGGCAACUAUUUUGUACUUUGGAGCUUCCUCUGAUACCAGUUUUGGCAGUGAUGGAAAACCGCAGCAUUCGGGUGAACGGAGAAGAAAUGAAGAGGACUUCAGCACUUCUUGGGUCUCGUCUCAAGGAAUCGGAGCAGGAAGCUCAUUUUGUGGCAGGAGAACAGUUUCUUAAAACGAGUAAUAAUCAGCUUCGAGAGUUAAAUGCCCUGCAAGAUCUUCAUCCGUUACCCAAGAUAAUUUUGGAAUAUAGGCGGGUUCACAAGACCAAGUCAGCCUUCGUGGAUGGAUUACCAGCUCGCAUGAAAAAGGGCUCCAUUUCCUGUACGUGGAAUCAGACAGGAACUGUGACUGGAAGACUUUCAGCGAGGCGCUCAAAUAUUCAAGGUAUCUCCAAGCACCCAAUUCGGAUUACUAAACCGCAGUAUUUUAAAGCUGAACAGGAAUCUAGGUUUGGCUUCAUUAAGUUGGAGAACCUCUGACCUUUUGCAUGCCCUGGCCCCUGGGUACCCACCGUGACUCUGCCCAUCUGUUGCUAGUGGGCCAAAGGCAGGGGACCUGAAUAGACAUUUUUCCAAAGAAGACGUACAGAUGGCCAACAGACACCUGAAAAAAUGUUCAACACCCUUCGUCAUCAGGGCAAUGCAAACCAGAACCACAAUGAACUAUCAUCUCACCUGUCGGAAUGGCUAAAAAAAAAAAAAAGACAAGAAAUAAGGUGUGUAGGCAAGGAUGCGGAGGAAAAGGGAAGCCUCGUGCGUUGUGGGAAUGUGAGGUGGUGUAGCCACCGUGGAAAACAGUAUGGAGGUUCUCAAAAAUUAAAAGCAGAAAUACCAUAUGAUCAGUUAUUCUGCUACUGGGUAUUUACCAAAACAAAAGGAAAAGACUAAUUUGAAAAGACAUAUGCCCCCCUACGUUCAUUGCAGCACUAUUUAUAAUAGCCAAGG